GGGGUGGUAAGCGUCGGUGGCGCCUCCAAAUCUCUGACUGGUGGGGGAUCGUGUGGCAGCAGGGGCGGCAGACGCGACGCCGCGAACCCGGCUCUCCUCAGUCGACGUCAAACCGUCGCGACGCGUACGUGUUCUCUUUCGUCGGUUUCGCAAAGCUCAUAAGACUCGCGUGUCUCGUACAGCGUGACUCGUCGCUCGUGUUCGGCCACCUGUUCGCUCCAGAAGCUCGGAUCGGGAAGCAGACCGAAGAAGCUUAUCUAGGCGACUGGUGCACGUGUAUCUGACAAGGGAUACCUACAAUUUCUUCGUCGCAAGCGUACUUAGGAUAGAAUUACCGCGAUUCCCGUAGUGCGUGUGUGGUGAGGUGCCUUGACGAAAUCUCCUUUGGCUAAACUGGAGCAGUGCGCGAUCGGUACGUGUUGGUUCACGAGUAGAGUCGUACGGUGUGAAGAAAAAUCAACAGUGCCAGUCGCCAGUGAAAACGUCAGUGAGAAAGAAUCACUCUUUGAUAUUCAGUGUGAAACACCUUUUGGAUUAUGACUAUCGGAUGACACUUGGCAUGCGGUCGUCGUAGGGUCGACGCAUCACCACGUCCACCCUCGUGCUCGCCAAACAGUCAUCAUGAUCACGAAUGGGCAGCUAAAGAACGUCGUCAUAGUUCACGGCACGUCGUAUAACGUGUAAAAUUCUGCUAGUCCCGCACUAAGUAUCAGCUUUCGGAGGAUUUGAUACUCGGUGGACAGUGAAAAAGAAUCGAAGGCAUGAAGAGGAAAUCGAAAGGCGUGUCGGGUGUUUGGUGAAAAAGUAUCGAAGAAAGCCGAGCGUUAAGCGAGCUUAAACGCGAACAACCGUAGAGUUAGCUGUUGUGAGGUGAAAACGUGUCUGGUUCGUUCGUGAGGGAUGCGGCCCAUGGGCGAAGGGUGGGGUCUUUGGGCACCGAUAAGGCUUAUCCGAAGAUACCAUGGCCGCCUGGCUGCUCGGCUCUCCUCGUCAGUCAUAGUGCUCAGGUGGCGUCGACGAGAUCGUCGUUCGGUUUAGCUUUACGCGAGUUCGCGCCUAUUACACGAAUUCCACGACCGUGUCCCGUUUCAUGAACGAGGAUUAAAAGCCAGCCACGUAAGCACGAGAGGAUCUCGAAGAAGUGGCGGUGGAAGGGUGGAGGAGCUGCAGCUGAAAAACAGCGAUUCGAGGAUUCGUGACGUCGAUUAUUGGGAUUCUACGAUCUCGAUUCGGACGUUUCACGUUGCAUCGACCCAGUUUCCCUUAAAAUCUCUUCUAAAAGGGAACGCUCGUUAGAAACGAAUCAGUGUCCGUAGUUGUGCAUCCGUAUUUCGUGAAGAAGUGUAUGCUUUUUUUGUGUCGACUAUCGGAUAACUCGUGAUUAUAUUCGGUAAUUCGUGUAAUUUGCCCGGGCAAAGGUGCGUCUUUUACGUUUCGCGUUGUUUACGCCGGUUUAUUCGUACGCGAACGGUAGAGUUUGAGGGUUGACACCUUCAAACCGGAAACGAAGAAUAAUCCUGUCUUCCUCAAGGAUAAACGAGGCCGAGGGAAGGGGUCAUCGAGAGCCGGUCGCUAGAAGGACUCCU